CCUACGGGGGGCUGCAGUGAGGAAUAUUGGUCAAUGGGCGCGAGCCUGAACCAGCCAAGUCGCGUGAGGGAGGACGGCCCUACGGGUUGUAAACUUCUUUUGCAGGGGCGCAACGGGCGUCACGUGUGGCGCCACUGAGAGUACCUGGAGAAAAAGCAUCGGCUAACUCCGUGCAAGCAGCGGGGGAAUUACGGGGGAUGCGAGGGUUAUCCGGAUUGAUUGGGUUUAAGGGGUGCGUAGGCGGAUCGUAAAUUAAGUGGUCAAUUUGAGGGCUUAAACCCCUACCCGCCAUUGAUACUGGCGUUCGUGAGUGUAGGAGAGGUAUGCGGAAUGCGUGGUGUAGCGGUGAAAUGCUUAGAUAUCACGCAGAACCCCGAUUGCGAAGGCAGCAUGCCGGCUUCCAACUGACGCUGAGGCACGAAAGCGUGGGGAUCGAACAGGAUUAGAUACCCUAGUAGUC
rnacentral:rRNA from 1 species